rnacentral:rRNA from 1 species
GACGAACGCUGGCGGCGUGCCUAACACAUGCAAGUCGAACGGGGUAAUUCCUUCGGGGAUUACUUAGUGGCGAACGGGUGAGUAACGCGUGAGAAACCUGCCUCUCAGUGGGGGACAACAGUUGGAAACGACUGCUAAUACCGCAUAAUGUUUUCGGACCGCAUGGUCUGAAAACCAAAGCUUUAUGUGCUGAGAGAUGGUCUCGCGUCUGAUUAGCUAGUUGGUGGGGUAACGGCUCACCAAGGCGACGAUCAGUAGCCGGUCUGAGAGGAUGAACGGCCACAUUGGGACUGAGAUACGGCCCAGACUCCUACGGGAGGCAGCAGUGGGGAAUAAUGGGCAAUGGGGGAAACCCUGACCCAGCAACGCCGCGUGAAGGAAGAAGGCCUUCGGGUUGUAAACUUCUUUUACCAGGGACGAAACAAAUGACGGUACCUGGAGAAAAAGCAACGGCUAACUACGUGCCAGCCGCCGCCGUAAAAC